rnacentral:misc_RNA from 1 species
GAUGAAGAACGCAGCGAAAUGCGAUACGUAAUGUGAAUUGCAAAUUCAGUGAAUCAUCGAGUCUUUGAACGCACAUUGCGCCCCCUGGUAUUCCGGGGGGCAUGCCUGUCCGAGCGUCAUUACUGCCCUCAAGCCCGGCUUGUGUGUUGGGCCCCGUCCUCCGAUCCCGGGGGACGGGCCCGAAAGGUAGCGGCGGCACCGCGUCCGGUCCUCGAGCGUAUGGGGCUUUGUCACCCGCUCUGUAGGCCCGGCCGGCGCUUGCCGAUCAACCCCAAUUUUUAUAGGUUGACCUCGGAUCAGGUAGGGAUACCCGCUGAACUUAAGCAUAUCAAUAAGCGGAGGA